GACUCUUGUUAAGGAUCUUUUGCGCAUGGUGAGUCACUACUUUCUCAUUGCUCUGAGGAUUUCUGUUUGUCUUUGUCUUCCCAUGUUGUGAAUAUAAUGUAUCUUGAGAUGGAUAUUUGAGUUUAUCCUUCUUGCAGUUUAUUGAGCUUACUAGCCUCUUCAGGUAAUAUUUAAGAAACCACAGCUGGGUGCGUGUUUCAUACCUGUUAUCCCAGCAUUUUGGGAGGCCGAGGCAGUGGAUCACCUGAGGUCAGGAGUUCAAGACCAGCCUGGCAGACAUGGUGAAACCCCGUAUCCACUAAAAAUACAAAAAUUACCAGGGCAUGGUGGCGGGUGCCUGUAAUCUCAGCUACUCAGGAGUCUGAGACAGCAGAAUUGCUUGAAUCUGGGAGAUGGAAGUUGUAGUGAGCCGAGAUCUGAGCACUGCACUCCAGCGACAGAGCAAGACUUUGUCUCAAGAAAAAAAAAAAAAAGAAGAAACCACGAUGUGACUUUCUGACAAGGCUAAACAAAAUUCAGGAUAUUUCACCCACAACUAUAAACUGGGCAGAGAAUGGGAGAAGAGCAUGAGGAAUUCCAUAACAGCAAUGAAUGCCAGAGCAAUGUAAUCCUCUCGAGAGAUUCAUGGUGGGCACCAAAACCAGCGAAAUGGGGGAACUUAUGUAUUCAUUUAUUCUUUCUUGACUACUUCUUAGCUAUAUAUUGAGCAUUGACUUGAAGGUCAGAAAAGUGUAAAAAGUGACUAAGCCUGAACUUGCUCAAGAUGCUUCUCAAAAUAUUUAAAGCAGUGCAUGUCUAUCCAAUUGUUUUCUUCUAAUGUUCAGGGAUGCAGUAUUAUUGUUCUGUACAAAGAACUGUUAAAGGAAAAGAUAUAUAUAUAUAUAUUUUUUUUUUUUAAUUGAAGAGAAGGGAAUAUUUUAAGAGGUGUCAUGUCUAGAUUAAACAGCCUGCUUGUGUUUUGGUAAAAAUAAAUAUCAUUAAAAGAGAAAAUGAUUUGCUGCAGAACAUUGAAUGUUGCAAUUCUAUUAAACAAGAUUUUCCCUGUUUCCUCAAAGCAUCUUAAAAUUAUCUG